rnacentral:rRNA from 1 species
GAUGAACGCUGGCGGCGUGCCUAAUACAUGCAAGUCGAGCGAACAGACGAGGAUCUUGCUCCUCUGACGUUAGCGGCGGACGGGUGAGUAACACGUGGAUAACCUACCUAUAAGACUGGGAUAACUUCGGGAAACCGGAGCUAAUACCGGAUAAUAUAUUGAACCGCAGGGUUCAAUAGUGAAAGACGGUUUUGCUGUCACUUAUAGAUGGAUCCGCGCCGCAUUAGCUAGUUGGUAAGGUAACGGCUUACCAAGGCGACGAUGCGUAGCCGACCUGAGAGGGUGAUCGGCCACACUGGAACUGAGACACGGUCCAGACUCCUACGGGAGGCAGCAGUAGGGAAUCUUCCGCAAUGGGCGAAAGCCUGACGGAGCAACGCCGCGUGAGUGAUGAAGGUCUUCGGAUCGUAAAACUCUGUUAUUAGGGAAGAACAAAUGUGUAAGUAACUAUGCACGUCUUGACGGUACCUAAUCAGAAAGCCACGGCUAACUACGUG